AGUGAACGCUGGCGGUAGGCCUAACACAUGCAAGUCGAACGGCAGCACAGUAAGAGCUUGCUCUUACGGGUGGCGAGUGGCGGACGGGUGAGGAAUACAUCGGAAUCUACUUUUUCGUGGGGGAUAACGUAGGGAAACUUACGCUAAUACCGCAUACGACCUACGGGUGAAAGCAGGGGAUCUUCGGACCUUGCGCGAUUGAAUGAGCCGAUGUCGGAUUAGCUAGUUGGCGGGGUAAAGGCCCACCAAGGCGACGAUCCGUAGCUGGUCUGAGAGGAUGAUCAGCCACACUGGAACUGAGACACGGUCCAGACUCCUACGGGAGGCAGCAGUGGGGAAUAUUGGACAAUGGGCGCAAGCCUGAUCCAGCCAUACCGCGUGGGUGAAGAAGGCCUUCGGGUUGGAAAGCCCUUUUGUUGUGAAAGAAAAGCAGCAGGUUAAUACCCCGCUGUUCUGACGGUACCCAAAGAAUAAGCACCGGCUAACUUCGUG
rnacentral:rRNA from 1 species